AGUGAACGCUGGCGGUAGGCCUAACACAUGCAAGUCGAACGGCAGCACAGGAGAGCUUGCUCUCUGGGUGGCGAGUGGCGGACGGGUGAGGAAUACAUCGGAAUCUGCCCAGUCGUGGGGGAUAACGUAGGGAAACUUACGCUAAUACCGCAUACGACCUUCGGGUGAAAGAGGGGGAUCGCAAGACCUCUCGCGAUUGGAUGAGCCGAUGUUGGAUUAGCGAGUUGGCGGGGUAAUGGCCCACCAAGGCGACGAUCCGUAGAUGGUCUGAGAGGAUGAUCAGCCACACUGGAACUGAGACACGGUCCAGACUCCUACGGGAGGCAGCAGUGGGGAAUAUUGGACAAUGGGCGCAAGCCUGAUCCAGCCAUACCGCGUGGGUGAAGAAGGCCUUCGGGUUGUAAAGCCCUUUUGUUGGGAAAGAAAUCUUUCAGGCUAAUACCCUGGGAGGAUGACGGUACCCAAAGAAUAAGCACCGGCUAACUUCGUG
rnacentral:rRNA from 1 species